GACGAACGCUGGCGGCGUGCUUAACACAUGCAAGUCGAACGGAAAGGCCCUGCUUUUGUGGGGUGCUCGAGUGGCGAACGGGUGAGUAACACGUGAGUAACCUGCCCUUGACUUUGGGAUAACUUCAGGAAACUGGGGCUAAUACCGGAUAGGAGCUCCUGCUGCAUGGUGGGGGUUGGAAAGUUUCGGCGGUUGGGGAUGGACUCGCGGCUUAUCAGCUUGUUGGUGGGGUAGUGGCUUACCAAGGCUUUGACGGGUAGCCGGCCUGAGAGGGUGACCGGCCACAUUGGGACCGAGAUACGGCCCAGCCUCCUACGGGAGGCAGCAGGGGGGAAUAUUGCACAAUGGGCGGAAGCCUGAUGCAGCAACGCCGCGUGCGGGAUGACGGCCUUCGGGUUGUAAACCGAUUUCGCCUGUGACGAAGCGUGAGUGACGGUAAUGGGUAAAGAAGCACCGGCUAACUACGUG
rnacentral:rRNA from 1 species